ACCCGCCAGCCCCGCGCUCUACCAGGCAGAGCGCGUGUGGCCGCCGAGCACAUGGACCCACUGGUCAAGCGGGCUCGGCAAGGCCAGGAUGAAGAGAAGCUACGAACUUAGCAUUCCCAGAGCCCCCCGAGUGGAUAUCCGCGUGGAAAGGAUGUUGGCAGCCCCGGUGACCUCGGAGUCACGGCUGGAUCCACCCUCUUUAUACCCUUUAAGCGUUCCAGAAGGAUUUUGAGAUCCUUUCCUAAAUCAAAGGUGGAAUAUUUGGGGAUUUGGAAAAUUGAGAUGUGAAGCGUUGACUUAAGAGAUGCCAAGUAACUCAGCAGAUGUCACACAGACGAUAAAUAGCAAAGAUGGAAGUCUUCAUGCCGGAGGCAAUCCUAUAAGACAGCUGAGUUCUGCAGAGCUGGAGACAGACUUGCUCAGGUGAUAGAUCCAGCCAUGAUACUGACCCUAAGAGAAUGAGACGCUCUGCAGAAGACAGAAGAUUCCUGAAACUGGGAAAGGUGCCUAGAAAUCCUGAUAAGAGUGAAGAAGGAGCUGGCAGAGCAGCCUUCCUCCGCACUAUGAAAGACAUCCAACAGAGAGCAAGUUCCCACCUCACUUCCAGCUUGACUCCUUUUUAUCUCCUAACUGUGGUCUGUGAUGUCUUCAGCAAUGGGUACCUGGAGGCACAGCAGCCAUGUUGAACCUAUGAGGUGAUGAAAAACCAUGCAACUAGAAACCAGAAUGGAAGAAAAGAAGAAGCUGGAUCCUUGACUGAAUUGUCGAUGGGGGAUAGUCCAUCAUCCCAGGGCUAAGACCACCUCCAGAUUUCUUGUUUGGUGAAACAAGUCCUGAUUGUUUACAUUCCCUCGUGUUGAGCUGUCUCUUGCUUGUAGCUGAAAGCAUUUCUAAUAGAUAUUCAGAUUAUCAGCCUUAGCUCCAAGCUAGAAUACUCUAUGGGACCUUAGCUUCUCCAUGAAUUCCUUUGCUCAUCUGUGUAAUGCUCAAUAAAUGUAAAUUGAACCCUGAAUGAGGGACAAUGACA
rnacentral:lncRNA from 1 species